GUGGGGAAUUUUGCGCAAUGGGGGAAACCCUGACGCAGCGACGCCGCGUGGAGGACGAAGGCCUUCGGGUUGUAAACUCCUUUUGUGGGGGAAGAUAGUGACGGUACCCCGCGAAUAAGCCACGGCUAACUCUGUGCCAGCAGCCGCGGUAAGACAGAGGUGGCAAGCGUUGUUCGGAAUUACUGGGCUUAAAGGGCGCGUAGGCGGCAUGGUAAGUCGGUGGUGGAAUCCCGGAGCUUAACUCCGGAAUUGCCAUCGAAACUGCUUUGCUUGAGUCAGUGAGGGGAGGGCGGAAUUCCUGGUGUAGCAGUGAAAUGCGUAGAUAUCAGGAGGAAGGCCGGUGGCGAAGGCGGCCCUCUGGCGCUUGACUGACGCUGAGGCGCGAAAGCGUGGGGAGCAAACAGGAUUAGAAACCCGGGUAGUCC
rnacentral:rRNA from 1 species